rnacentral:lncRNA from 1 species
CUAGUUGAUCUUGGCUCUCCUGAUAACAGAAUCCAAUUUCCUUCCUUCCCUCCACAGGUUUGGAACAAACUCUCCCUUCACUUGUUGCCCUGUAGCACUACAGAAACCCUGGUUCUUGGGCUCCACUGAGCCCCAGGUCAGUCCCCAGCCCUCUGGGUUGGCCUGCUGUCAGUGCUUCUCUCACUCCUUAGUUGGGGUCCACAUCAGUAUUGGAGUUUUGUUCUUUAUUGCUCCCUCCCAGACACUCCCUGUGGCUGCCCUUUGUGAUUCCCUCAGAUCUGCCCUAAUCCCGGGCAUUUGGGUGGGGGAAUCUUGCCUUUCCCUUUCAGAGCCCCAGGGAUCUCAUCUGGGGAACUGUCAUUGCCAGCAGAGGCUGUUCCUUCCUGCUGUUUGGAGAUGUGACUCAUUCAUUCACUCACUCCACCCUGCCUCUGCAUCCCUUAAUGGAGAAACGGGCCUAAAACCAAACGGGAUUGUGACUCCCCAGCCCCUGCCCUCAAAGCUUCAGACCCCUCAGGUAGCAGCAGGACCUUGUGAUCUUGGCCCCUUGGAUCUGAGAUGGUUUUUGCAUCUUUCCAGGAGAGCCUCACAUUCUUCUUCCAGGUUGUAUCACCCCCGAGUUAGCAUAUCCCAGGCUCGCAGACUCAACACAGCAAGGGUGGGAGACAGCUGGGCACAAAGGGGGAAUUCCGUUCAGCAUGGGCUCUAAACCCACAGAACUGACAAAGCCCCUGCU